AUAUUUACUAGCUAGGGAGGCACCAUGAUUAAAAAGGAGGCUUCCAGGGUGACACGUCCAUUGUGCUUUGAAUGUGUGAUUUCCUCCAAUGUGGGAAACUCAAAUGCAUAAUUUCUGGUAUUUGGGGACAGCAUUUCUGCUCUCCCCUA
rnacentral:snRNA from 1 species